rnacentral:rRNA from 1 species
UACGUAGGUGGCAAGCGUUAUCCGGAAUUAUUGGGCGUAAAGAGCGCGCAGAUGGAUGGAUAAGUCUGAAGAGAAAGCCCGCGGCUCAACUGCGGGACUGCUUUGGAAACUGUGCAUCUUGAGUACGGGAGGGGCAGGCGGAAUUCCUGGUGUGGCGGUGAAAUGCGUAGAUAUCAGGAGGAACACCGGCGGCGAAGGCGGCCUGCUGGACCGAAACUGACGUUGAGGCUCGAAAGCGUGGGGAGCAAACAGG